UUUCCCUCCCAUCCCACAGGCAACCAUUCGGAGUGCUAAAUCUCUGACAAUAUACCAGAAUGUUCAUAAAGGCUCUAGAGCUGUGCUUGGGAAUGUGGUAAACAGCCUCGGCAGUUAAUGGCAACAAACUGACUCUCCAUGACCUGUCCAUUUCCCCUCUGAGUGUGCCAGCUCUUCUCACAUAGGACUGAAUCUGGGUUGCUGGGAUACUUAGCCCCGCCAAUGUCUUUUGCCGCCAGACACAAAUCAUGUAAAUGGUUGCCCAUCUCAAGAUGGUGUAAGACCCCAAGUUCACAGAGGUGACCAGAUGUUAGAGAUGUCUGAUCACUGGGAAUCUGGGCCAGGUCCAUGGCCAAUUGAGUAGAGGCCAGCCCGUGCUCCAGUCACUACUGCUUUGUUUUUGUAUGAGUCUUCCCUUAAAGGAUCCCCAACAUCAUAGAGAGGACCACAUUGUCUAGGUCCAAGACUAGUCUACGCU